rnacentral:rRNA from 1 species
UACGUAGGGUGCAAGCGUUGUCCGGAAUUAUUGGGCUUAAAGCGCGCGUAGGCGGAUGGGGACGUCGGUCGUUGAAAGCCCCCGGCUCAACCGGGGAACUGGCACCGAAACGCCCCGUCUCGAGGGACGUAGGGGGACCUGGAACUCCCGGUGGAGCGGUGAAAUGCGUUGAGAUCGGAAGGAACGCCCGUGGCGAAGGCGGGUGCCUGGACCCUUACUGACGCUGAGGCGCGAAAGCCAGGGGAGCGAACGGG